GAGUUUGAUCUUGGCUCAGAUUGAACGCUGGCGGCAUGCCUUACACAUGCAAGUCGAACGGCAGCACGGGAGCUUGCUCCUGGUGGCGAGUGGCGAACGGGUGAGUAAUGCAUCGGAACGUAUCCUGGAGUGGGGGGAUAACGUAGCGAAAGUUACGCUAAUACCGCAUAUUCUGUGAGCAGGAAAGCGGGGGACCUUCGGGCCUCGCGCUCUUGGAGCGGCCGAUGUCGGAUUAGCUAGUUGGUGAGGUAAAGGCUCACCAAGGCGACGAUCCGUAGCAGGUCUGAGAGGAUGAUCUGCCACACUGGAACUGAGACACGGUCCAGACUCCUACGGGAGGCAGCAGUGGGAAUUUUGGACAAUGGGGGCAACCCUGAUCCAGCCAUGCCGCGUGAGUGAAGAAGGCCU
rnacentral:rRNA from 1 species